GGCACCACCAGGAGUGGAGCCUGCGGCUUAAUUUGACUCAACACGGGAAACCUCACCAGGCCCGGACACCGGAAGGAUUGACAGAUUGAGAGCUCUUUCUUGAUUCGGUGGGUGGUGGUGCAUGGCCGUUCUUAGUUGGUGGAGCGAUUUGUCUGGUUAAUUCCGAUAACGAACGAGACUCUAGCCUGCUAACUAGGCGAUUUCCGGUACCCACAACAGUGUUACCGGCGAUUCAAUUUCUUCUUAGAGGGACAGGCGGCUCCUAGCCGCACGAGACUGAGCAAUAACAGGUCUGUGAUGCCCUUAGAUGUCCUGGGCCGCACGCGCGCUACACUGAAGGAAUCAGCGUGUCUUCCCUGGCCGACAGGCCCGGGUAACCCGUUGAACCUCCUUCGUGCUAGGGAUUGGGGCUUGCAAUUGUUCCCCAUGAACGAGGAAUUCCCAGUAAGCGCGAGUCAUAAGCUCGCGUUGAUUACGUCCCUGCCCUUUGUACACACCGCCCGUCGCUACUACCGAUUGAAUGAUUUAGUGAGGUCUUCGGACUGGUGCGCGGCGAUCGGCUAAUGUCGGUCGCCGAUGUUGCCGGAAAGAUGACCAAACUUGAUCAUUUAGAGGAAGUAAAA
rnacentral:rRNA from 1 species